rnacentral:lncRNA from 1 species
AAUUGAUUUCUCAGUAUCCAUUCCAAUACUCCCUCUUCUCUCUCACGCCUACUCCCUCACACUCUAACCAUUCUCUUCAAUUCAAGCUUUGAACUAAGGAAAGGAAGCAUGGAUUCUUACAUGCAAUCAUGGUAGCAACUUCUCUAGCCAUAAGUAAACAAGGUAACAGACUUACCUUUUCCUUUUCUUUAACAUAAUCCUUGUAAUUUCCCAUUUUAAUUAUUCAACCAAAAUCUGAUGAGUACUCCCUUCCUUUUGAAUUGAGAGCUUGUAUGUGAGUUAUAGUAGCCAAGGAGUCAUGGGUUCAUGUUUGAAGCUUGAAGUUUUGAGUGGUGACUUUUGAAAGAGAUUGUGUUGAAUUUCGUUUUUGGAUAUACUUUCAGAAAAACAGUAAGUACUCCUUCCCUGUAACUCCAAUCGAGUUAAUUCUUUAAGUUCUGUAAAGCUAACGAAUUUACCCUCGUUGGCAUAUCAAAUUUUAUCGGAUUCGGAGUUACAAUGCAUUAUGUAGGUGAUGCUAAAGUUGAAGAUACGAAACAGGAUUUCUGCAGAAAAUGUGUUUGGACAGUGCUGCACUUAAAGGUUAACUGCGCCCUCUCUAUAACUCGGUUUGACAUUCCAUUUGCUUCUAUGGAUAGCUAACUCGAUUACGGUUGGUAUGGUUCCGGUUUUGUGAAUUUUCAAUAAGGGAUGAGGUCUGUAUGAAUUUUUGAAGUUGAUACUCCGAUGCAGAAUUCUGCAGAAAGGUAUGGGUACGGGUUUGAAGCAUUUCGAUUGAAAUUAUGCAUAUCGGCGAGCUCUGGAAAUGACAAUGGUAUUGUUCAAGCGUAUUUGCAGGUGGGUUCCCUUAGAGCCUUAAACUCUAGUUAGUUUUAACUCUAUUAGUUUCCCCAAAUUAUGAAUCUUGCAUGAUAACAUAAGCAUUAGGGUGAAUUGUGUAUGAGAGGAGCUUAAUCCCAAAGCUUCUCUUCGUUUUAAUUAUGUGAAAUAUGUUGUAAUGUUCAUGGCUAAUAAGUAAAGGGAUUGUGAUAAUGAUUUUCUGCAAAACGGAUGGAAAUUGUAAAAACAGAGUAAUGAACUGAUAGCCUCGCUAAGCGAAAUGGUACUUGCUAGGCGAGAAUAUCAGCUCAGUACUAUGUAGAAUUUAAAAUUAUGAACAAACUCACGUUUUUGAAUCCCCUACCUUUUUAGUACAUUUUCUGUGAAUAAUACAAGUAUAAUAAUUAAUUAAAAUGUUAAGUACACGUUAAGUUAAGAUAAUCAGGAUAUCAGGACAAGUUAGCUACUCCAGGGAGGGAAAUUCAUGGGUAGGAUANNN